GCGGGCAUAGUUUAGUGGUAAAACCCUAGCCUUCCAAGCUAGUGAUGCGGGUUCGAUUCCCGCUGCCCGCU
rnacentral:tRNA from 3 species